rnacentral:rRNA from 1 species
GAUGAACGCUAGCGGGAGGCCUAACACAUGCAAGCCGAGCGGUAUUUGUUCUUCGGAACAGAGAGAGCGGCGCACGGGUGCGGAACACGUGUGCAACCUGCCUUUAUCUGGGGGAUAGCCUUUCGAAAGGAAGAUUAAUACCCCAUAAUAUAUUGAGUGGCAUCCUUUGAUAUUGAAAACUCCGGUGGAUAGAGAUGGGCACGCGCAAGAUUAGAUAGUUGGUGAGGUAACGGCUCACCAAGUCAAUGAUCUUUAGGGGGCCUGAGAGGGUGAUCCCCACACUGGUACUGAGACACGGACCAGACUCCUACGGGAGGCAGCAGUGAGGAAUAUUGGACAAUGGGUUAGCGCCUGAUCCAGCCAUCCCGCGUGAAGGACGACGGCCCUAUGGGUUGUAAACUUCUUUUGUAUAGGGAUAAACCUACUCUCGUGAGAGUAGCUGAAGGUACUAUACGAAUAAGCACCGGCUAACUCCGUG